rnacentral:rRNA from 1 species
GAUGAACGCUGGCGGCGUGCCUAAUACAUGCAAGUCGAGCGAACAGACGAGGCGCUUGCUCCUCUGACGUUAGCGGCGGACGGGUGAGUAACACGUGGAUAACCUACCUAUAAGACUGGGAUAACUUCGGGAAACCGGAGCUAAUACCGGAUAAUAUAUUGAACCGCAUGGUUCAAUAGUGAAAGACGGUUUUGCUGUCACUUAUAGAUGGAUCCGCGCCGCAUUAGCUAGUUGGUAAGGUAACGGCUUACCAAGGCAACGAUGCGUAGCCGACCUGAGAGGGUGGUAGGCCACACGGGAAGGGAGACACGGACCAGACUCCUACGGGAGGCAGCAGUAGGGAAUCUGCCGCAAUGGGCGAGAGCAUGACGGAGCAACGCGGCGUGAGUGAUGAAGGUCUUGGGAUCGUAAAACUCUGUUAUUAGUGAAGAACAAAUGUGUAAGUAGCUGUGCACGUCUUGACGGUACUUGAUCAGAAAGCCACGGCUAACUACGUG